CCUAAAAAUCUAUCUAGUAGAAAACAGGCUCAGAAUGUAACAAACGCCGUAAAUAGUCUUACAUCGAAUGGAAAAAAAAUUCUGAUUUCGCAUUUAACAUGCCUUCACGCUAAUAAUAAUAACUAGGCUUAAGAAUUUUGCGUCGGUGGUUUAGGCCCAACGAGUUAUUAUUGUUAGCAGGUCGGAUCGUUAUACAUGAAUAUAUAAUAACACUUCUAUUCACGUGUACGAUAAAUAUAAAAGGCUUAAUAGUUGGUAUCCGAGACCCAAGUUCGAAUCCUAGUUGACUCACAUUUCCAGCUAAGUUUAUUUCUAAAUGAAAUAAACGAAGCAGGUAGCGUGCUACCUCUCUCUCUCUAAAAAAAAAAAAAGAGAUAAAUAUAAAAGACAAUAUAUAUUAAUACUUCUAUUCACAUGUACGAUAAAUUUAAAUGCAAUAUAUAUUAAUAAUUUAACACCUCUGGUAAAUAUUAACACAAUAAAUAUAAAAGGCACGUUGAGGUGAGAGAUGGAGAUUCAACCCGUUAUAUAAUAUAAAAAUUUAGUGAGAGAUGGGGAUUCAACCUGUUAUAUAACAUAAAAGUUUAAUCCCGAAGGAAUUAAAUAUUGACGCUAAUAUCAUGUUACUUAGAAAAUCCAUCUAAUAAGAAACUGGCUCAGAAAUAUAUGUCGACAAAGUUAUUGUUUGCCAUUUCUCCCUCAUUCUUAAUUUUUACUGUUGCUAUAAAUAUAAUUUAUUAUUUUUAUAGUUUUUCUCUUUUUUUUUUAUCUUUCUUAUAUUUUUAUUCUUAUACUUAUUAUUCAAUUUUUUUUAUUUAUAUUCUUUUUUAUUCUUUGAUUCUUUUUCCAUUUUUUACUUUUUU
rnacentral:lncRNA from 1 species